rnacentral:rRNA from 1 species
UAACAUUCUGAAAAGGAUGCUAAUACCGCAUGACAUAUCGGAACCACAUGGUUCUGAUAUCAAAGAUUUUAUCGCUUGAAGAUGGACUCGCGUCCGAUUAGUUAGUUGGUGAGGUAACGGCUCACCAAGACCGCGAUCGGUAGCCGGACUGAGAGGUUGAACGGCCACAUUGGGACUGAGACACGGCCCAGACUCCUACGGGAGGCAGCAGUGGGGGAUAUUGCGCAAUGGGGGCAACCCUGACGCAGCAACGCCGCGUGAAGGAUGAAGGUUUUCGGAUUGUAAACUUCUUUUAUUAAGGACGAAAAAUGACGGUACUUAAUGAAUAAGCUCCGGCUAACUACGUGCCGGCAGCCGCGGUAAUACGUAGGGAGCAAGCGUUGUCCGGAUUUACUGGGUGUAAAGGGUGCGUAGGCGGCUUUGCAAGUCAGAUGUGAAAUCUAUGGGCUCAACCCAUAAACUGCAUUUGAAACUGUAGAGCUUGAGUGAAGUAGAGGCAGGCGGAAUUCCCCGUGUAGCGGUGAAAUGCGUAGAGAUGGGGAGGAACACCAGUGGCGAAGGCGGCCUGCUGGGCUUUAACUGACGCUGAGGCACGAAAGCGUGGGUAGCAAACAGGAUUAGAUACCCUGGUAGUCCACGCUGU